rnacentral:rRNA from 1 species
UACGUAGGGGGCUAGCGUUGUCCGGAUUUAUUGGGCGUAAAGAGCGUGUAGGCGGCCAUGUAGGUCCGGUGUGAAAACUCGAGGCUUAACCUCGAGAUGUCGGCGGAAACCACUUGGCUAGAGUCCGGAAGAGGAGAGUGGAAUUCCUGGUGUAGCGGUGAAAUGCGCAGAUAUCAGGAAGAACACCUAUGGCGAAGGCAGCUCUCUGGGACGGUACUGACGCUGAGACGCGAAAGCGUGGGGAUCAAACAGG